CGCCCUUUUGGGGAAAGGGGGACUGCCGGAAGAUCGGCCCGCGUCUGAUUAGCUAGUUGGUGGAGUAACGGCCUAUCAAGGCGACGAUCAGUAGCUGGUCUGAGAGGAUGAUCAGCCACACUGCGACUGAGACACGGCCCAGACUCCUACGGGAGGCAGCAGUGGGGAAUAUUGGACAAUGGGCGCAAGCCUGAUCCAGCCAUGCCGCGUGAGUGAUGAAGGCCUUAGGGUUGUAAAGCUCUUUUAUCCGG
rnacentral:rRNA from 1 species